rnacentral:rRNA from 1 species
UAUGUGAUCGUCUCUCGCAUAUCAAUAAGCGGAGGAAAAGAAACUAACAAGGAUUCCCCUAGUAACGGCGAGUGAAGCGGGAAGAGCUCAAAUUUGAAAUCUUAAAGGGUUUCCCUUUACGAAUUGUAGUUUAAAGAAGUGUUUUCUGUUGAGGUUUUGGUAAAAGUUCUUUGGAAUAGGACAUCAUAGAGGGUGAGAAUCCCGUAUUUGACCUUUACUUUCAACUUUGUGAUACACUUUCAAAGAGUCGGAUUGUUUGGGAAUGCAGUCCAAAAUGGGUGGUAAAUUUCAUCUAAAGCUAAAUAUUGGCGAGAGACCGAUAGCGAACAAGUACCGUGAGGGAAAGAUGAAAAGAACUUUGAAAAGAGAGUUAAACAGUACGUGAAAUUGUCAAAAGGGAAGCGUUUGACACCAGUGUUGUUUUUCUGAAAAUCAAUUAAAGAACUGUUUAUGCUAAGUUGUUUAGACUUUAUCAGCUAUCUGUUUAGUUUUAGGCUUUUCUUUAAUGCACUUUUCAGUUAACAAGUCAACAUCAAUUUCUUUUGCUGUAAAAAAGCUUGAGGAAGGUGGCUUGAGAUUCGUCUUAAGUGUUUAUAGCCUCUUGCCUAUGUAGUCGGAGAGAUUGAGGUCUGCAGCGUAGAUCCUUCGGGGCUAAAUGCAUUUGUGCUAAGUUAUAGCAUUUUAUAGACAACUUGUUGACUAUGAUUUGUCUUGUAGCUUACUCGCUUAUGUUAUUUUACCUACGCUUAGGAUGUUGAUCUACAGAGCGAGAGU